rnacentral:rRNA from 1 species
UAAUGUAUGGAUAACGUACCCCAGGCACCGGGAUAGCAGCGGGAAACUGUUGGUAAUACCGGAUGAUGUUCCAAACCCCUUGGGGCUUGGAAUCAAAGGAUGGCCUCUACUUGUAAGCUAUCGGCGUGGGAGCGGUCCAUAUCCUAUCAGCUAGUUGGCGGGGUAACGGCCCACCAAGGCAACGACGGGUAGCGGGACUGAGAGGUUGACCCGCCGCAUUGGGACUGAGACACUGCCCAGACUCCUACGGGAGGCUGCAGUAACGAAUAUUGGACAAUGAGCGAAAGCUUGAUCCAGCGACGCCGCGUGCAGGAAGAAGUCCUUCGGGAUGUAAACUGCUGUCAGGGACCACCAAGCAAGGAAGGUUAAUACCCUUCUGCGUUGAGGACUCCCAGAGGAAGCCACGGCUAACUUCGUGCCAGCAGCCGCGGUAAUACGAAGGUGGCGAGCGUUGUUCGGAAUCACUGGGCUUAAAGCGUGUGUAGGCGGACUGUCAAGCGUUUUGUGAAAGGCCUCGGCUUAACCGGGGAAUUGCUUGACGAACUGAUAGUCUUGAGGCAGGUAGGGGCAACUGGAACUCUUGGUGGAGCGGUGGAAUGCGUAGAUAUCAAGAGGAACGCCAGAGGCGAAGGCGAGUUGCUGGGCCUGUCCUGACGCUGAGACACGAAAGCCAGGGGAGCGAACGGGAUUAGAUACCCCGGUAGUCCUGGCCCUAAACGAUGUCCACUAGAUCGGAGGCACUCUGACGUGUUUCUGGUCUGAAUUGUUAACGGUAAUUGGACCGCCUGGGUAGUUACGGUCGCAAGGCUUUUACUCUAAGGAAUUGACGUGGGCUCACACAAGCGGUGGAGCAUGUUGCUUAAUUCGAUGCAACGCGAAGAACCUUAUCCUAGGCUUGACAUAUACGUAUGCCUACUGGGAAACCAGGUCGUCUGCCCUUCGGGGUGAUACGUAUACAGGUGCUGCAUGGCUGUCGUCAGCUCGUGUCGUGAGAUGUUGGGUUAAGUCCCGUAACGAGCGAAACCCUUGUCGUUAGUUGCCAGCGCGUAAUGGCGGGGACUCUAACGAGACUGCCGGUGUUAAACCGGAGGAAGGUGGGGAUGACGUCAAGUCCUCAUGGCCUUUAUGCCUAGGGCUGCAAACGUGCUACAAUGGCCGGUACAAAACGAAGCGAGACCGCGAGGUGGAGCAAAUCGUAAAAAACCGGCCCCAGUUCGGAUUGGAGUCUGCAACUCGACUCCAUGAAGUUGGAAUCGCUAGUAAUCGCGUAUCAGCGUGACGCGGUGAAUGUGUUCCUGAGCAUUGUACACACCGCCCGUCAAGUCAUGGAAGCCGGGAGCACCCGAAGUCGG